CUUCCAUGAUGUUCCUUGAACCUAAG
rnacentral:piRNA from 1 species